ensembl:processed_transcript Platr14 pluripotency associated transcript 14
GGGGAUUUGAAGCACAGGUGGGCUUGGUAAGGACCCACCAGUGGGAACCUAGGGGGCUGGGUGGAGAGAUUGUGGAGUUCUGAGUCAGAGUCUCCAUGAGAUAAAACAAGUUGACCAAUGCCUGACCAGACCACUGGGGCAGAGAGUUGCUGGCACAAGCAUGGGAACGUGUCAGUUCUUUUUUAAUAUUUCCCACAACAAAUAUAUAUCCUGAUUACAGUUUCCCCUCCCUCUACCCCCCUCCCCGUUCCUCCCUGAAUUUCAGGGUUCAGACUACAAACUGCUUCUGUGUGACUAAGAGAAGAAGAAUCAGAGUAAAGAGAAACAUACUCUCUUAAUCUCCGAAGAUUAACGGCAGGAGGAGCUCUAGAAUUUCACAAAGGUGCUGUCAGGACACAUGAAAAUCUAGAGAAAAAGACCAGCUUGAAGAGACCAAAAAGAAGAAAGCCUGCCAAUCACAUCCUCCAGAGAUUCUGAGACACACACACCCCUGGUGUAGGGGGACACCAUCUGAAAGGUGACACCCACUCUACGGAAUAUAAGUACCAGCUAAAGAGGACACACACUUGAAGAAAAAGGAGACAAUGAGGUCUUGUGAAUGCUCUAAUUUUUCAAAGCUUACUUUUAAUGAUGGUUCUUAAACGCUUUAACCUCCCUUCUAGUCCACCACCCACCAAAGGUAGUGAAAAGAAAGGUGAUUAGGAUAC